GACGAACGCUGGCGGCGUGCCUAACACAUGCAAGUCGAGCGAACAGACGCGGAGCUUGCUGCUCUGACGUUAGCGGCGGACGGGUGAGUAACACGUGGAUAACCUACCUAUCAGACUGGGAUAACAUCGGGAAACCGGAGCUAAUACCGGAUAAUAUAUUGAACCGCAUGGUUCAAUAGUGAAAGACGGUUUUUGUGUCACUUAUAGAUGGAUCCGCGCCGCAUUAGCUAGUUGGUAAGGUAACGGCCUACCAAGGCAACGAUGCGUAGCCGACCUGAGAGGGGGAUCGGCGACCCUGGAGCUGGGACACGGUCCAGACGCCUACGGGAGGCAGCAGUAGGGAAUCUUCCGCAAUGGGCGGAAGCCUGACGGAGCAGCGCCGCGUGAGUGGUGAAGGUCUUCGGAUCGUAAAACUCUGCUAUUAGGGAAGAACAAAUGUGUAAGUAACUAUGCACGGCUUGACGGUACCUGAUCAGAAAGCCACGGCUAACUACGUG
rnacentral:rRNA from 1 species